CAGUCGACAGUCGAAUAAUUGUCCAAAAUGGACGUUAAUUUUCUUGUCUAAAACUCCAUUCUGACCAUUGCCACAUGGCACACUUUCCUACAAUGCACGCUUUCCCCAGACCAUAUCGAUUGAGGCGAUCUCGUAUUGGCAGCGUAUUGGCCAUAAUCGAUUGAAAACUUCGUACCCACAUAUACACACACACACACGAUCAGCGAACAGCGCGCACCGAAUACGGAUCGGUCAGUCUUGCUUCUCGAUUCCAUCCAAUCGCACACGAUUCGUUUCGUCCCGGGAUUGAACCGAACUGAAACCUUUUCACGGCACGUGCCUGCAACAUCAUACGACGACGUGUUUGAUUUAGUGGCGUUGGCUUAUCCAACUACCUCACCGCACCCUCCUUUUAUCCCUCCCAAGCAAACCACACAAGCCCGCCAGAAACGAUGGGAAACGCGCCCAACCCGAAACAAUACACCAAGUACAGCAAAAACACGGCCGAGUGACGAAUCAGAGCUCAUCAGCGAUUAAAAUGGAAAAUGUGGCAGACAGAAAGGCAGAUAGAAGGCCGAGGCAAAUUAUGAUCGAUGGCUAAUGGAUUGUGACUGGAUGCACAGCCAGAAUCAGAAAUGCCAACUUGCUUACGUUCCCUCUCUGCCGCCCUGCGCGUCCAUCGCUGGUCCUGCUGUUACGGUCGAGCUGCUGGGGAGUACAGCGUACACGGCGCCGUACAAGUGUUUUUUUCUGGGGGUUUAAUGCUACAUGUGGCGGCGCGAACGCCGUCUCUCCGAUACCACACAGCGGUUUGGCGUUAUUUUCGGUGAUGUUUACUUUAGCAGGUCUAGAUUAAGCUAGACGAAAGAUCGAAGAACUACAUGUGAUUGCUUAUUAGCAUUAUGUGUGUUAUGUAAGGAAUUUUCUACCAAAUAUACAAAUUAAAAUCGCUCUCCAUUGUACGCCACGCGGUACGUGCAGGCGAA